rnacentral:lncRNA from 1 species
GUUUGGGAGCUAACCUUUCUCCUCAUGGCCAUGCCAGAGAGGAGAGGGAAGAAGAGAGGAAGUUUUUUUUUUCCAUGGGAGUCUAAGAGACAGUGAAGAUACUGUCCGCUUCUUCAGCGAGAGGAAGAGCUCUUGAGAAAAACAUUUGGUUUGCUAACCCAAUAUAUGCUCAUGCCAGGUGGGUGGGAGGGAGGGCUCCCCCGCGGGGAAAGAAUAUUUAGCCUGAUUUCCUUUAUUUAUUUAUUUUUUGGCUGAGAGAAUACCUGAGAAAAAACAUUUGAGCCACUUUUCUAAUUUUUUUGUUUAUGCAAAUUGAAAGAGAUAGUGAAAACAAAAACUUUAGAGAAGUGGCUCAAACGUUUUUUCUCAGGUAUUCUCUCAGCCAAAAAUAAAUAAAUCUUCCAUUGAAGGGGAAAAAAAGCACCUGACCUGCUUCUUUGCACAUGUGAGACGGGAAGGGAGAAAACUUAGGGUAGUGUGAAUUAGUCUCUCUUCUAUUGGGAAAAGACACUUGGCCUGCUUUCUUUCUUAAGUUUUUGGGUGUGGAAUCCACCUCUUUUGUUGAGAAAGAAACACUUGGUGUACUCAUUUUUUGGGUCCACUCAACAUAAGGGCUUCAUGCAAAAUUGCUGAAGUUUAGGCUAUCAGUCCACCUCUCCAAACUCCUUUUUAAAGCAAAUAAAGAGAAAAAGUGGGAAAAAGAAAAUUUUGGCACUUAUGCAAAAUUGCUUGAGGUUAGAUCUGCUUCCAGUUCACCCAUCUUACAACUGGUUCACAGUAGCUGGAGAUGAUUCAGAAAUCCCCCCCUUUUUUUUCAUGGAAAUAAGUAGAAAGAGGGAGAAGAGGGAAGUAAGACAUGUUGAAUCCACCUCUCCUCUGUUGAGAAAAAACACUUGGUACCCCUUUAUAUCUGAUGCAGACCUGCAUUGACAUGCACCUUUCUUGGGUUUACUUUUUACCAGAAUUUUGGUUGUUGUUUCCCAAGAGAAAAUUACGGAAACCAAUCCUUUUUUUUUUUUUCAAACUUCCCAAUGUUCCUCAUGAACUUUACCAUGUUUCUUAAAAUUAAAAUAGGUAAAUAAAAUACUUUGUAUCAUAGUUUGCAAGUGGUUGUGACAGUGUAUUAUAUUAUUAUUUUAGUUGCUGUUCUUUCCUCAUAUUUUUUUUACUUUCAAUUGCAGAUGCUGACGAAGAUUAGCACUCAGGUUGGCUAGGACUAUAAGAUAUUUUCCAAUGGCGGUAAGCUUGUAAAAAAUGUGGCUUCCAAACCAGUUCUUGUGGGUGGUCCUGGACGCACUUAUUUGCUUUUAUUUGUUGUUGCUCUUCUUUGGUAAGGCUGUUCACUUCUCUGCAAUCUGGCAGCUUGUUGAAGUGCAGUUAUGAUGACAUUUUGGCGAAUGUAAGACUGCGAGUGAUAAUUGGAAUUAAUUAAUAAUUUUAAUAGCUGCAAAACCAUUUCAACCAACAGCCUUAUUAUGGGGUAUGCUAAGCAAGGUGUUUGUAUAACUUUUAUCAGGCUCUAGGUUUUGAAGCUUUUAAGGUUUGGGUGAGGCUUCGGACAGUUUGAGAUGGAACCUAUCGAAACCUUUGUCUUCAUGAGACGAGUACCAGUUUGCUGUAUUGGAUAUAAUCAUUCUGGUCUGCGCUAGUUUUACUUGCAUGAUGCUUAAAUUGAUACCACAAAAGAUUUUAUGAAUUUA